rnacentral:rRNA from 1 species
ACGAGGAAUUCCUAGUAAGCACGAGUCAUCAGCUCGUGCUGAUUACGUCCCUGCAAAAUGUACACACCGCCCGUCGCUUUUACCGAUUGAGUGUUCAGGUGAGUCUUCUUGAUAAUGUCAAAGUUAGAAAUUAAACAAACCUUAGCACUUAGAGGAAAAAGAAGUCGUAACAAGGUUUCCGUAGGUGAACCUGCGGAAGGAUC